rnacentral:rRNA from 1 species
AACGAACGCUGGCGGCGUGCUUAACACAUGCAAGUCGAACGCGAAAGGGACUUCGGUCCUGAGUAGAGUGGCGCACGGGUGAGUAACGCGUAAGUAAUCUACCCCUGUAUUCGGAAUAACCCACCGAAAGGUGAGCUAAUACCGGAUACGUUUAUCUUGAUGCGAAUGAUGAUAAAGAAAGGUGGCCUCUUCAUGAAAGCUACUGUAAAGGGACGAGAUUGCGUACCAUUAGCUAGUUGGUAGGGUAAUGGCCUACCAAGGCGACGAUGGUUAGCGGGUCUGAGAGGAUGAUCCGCCACACUGGAACUGGAACACGGACCAGACUCCUACGGGAGGCAGCAGUGAGGAAUAUUGCGCAAUGGGGGCAACCCUGACGCAGCGACGCCGCGUGGAUGAUGAAGGCCCUUGGGUCGUAAAAUCCUGUCAGAUGGAAAGAAAUGUAUAUGUGCUAACAUCGCAUAUAUUUGACGGUACCAUCAAAGGAAGCACCGGCUAACUCCGUGCCAGCCGCCGCAGUAA